rnacentral:rRNA from 1 species
UACGUAGGGGGCGAGCGUUGUCCGGAUUUAUUGGGCGUAAAGAGCUCGUAGGCGGUUCGUUAAGUCGGCCGUGAAAUCUCCACGCUCAACGUGGAGGGGCCGUUCGAUACUGUCGUGACUCGAGUCCGGUAGGGGAGUGUGGAAUUCCCGGUGUAGCGGUGAAAUUCGUAGAUAUCGGGAGGAACACCAGUGGCGAAGGCGGCUAUCUGGACGAACACUGACGCUGAAGUUCGAAAGCGUGGGGAGCAAACAGG